AACCAGCUCUUCGAGUGGUCAGGACGAAUAUUGGGUCUAAAGCGCUCGUAGCCGGACAAGUAGGUUUUUGGUUAAACCCGACAGCAUAACUGUUGGCCUGCUGGAAAUACCGCUAGUCUUGGAAGCGGGAGAGGACAGAGGUAGUCAUGGGGCAGGGGUGAAAUCCAGUGAUCCCAUGGCGACCACCGAUGGCGAAGGCAUCUGUCUGGAACGUAUUCGACGGUGAGGGCGAAAGCUAGGGGAGCGAGCCCGGAUUAGAUACCCUCGUA
rnacentral:rRNA from 1 species